rnacentral:rRNA from 1 species
GACGAACGCUGGCGGCGUGCCUAAUACAUGCAAGUCGAACGAAGCUGUUUUAACUGGUGCUUGCACCGACUUAAACAACUGAGUGGCGAACGGGUGAGUAACACGUGGGUAACCUGCCCCAAAGCGGGGGAUAACAUUUGGAAACAGAUGCUAAUACCGCAUAACCACAGAAACCACAUGGUUUCUGUGUCAAAGAUGGUUUCGGCUAUCACUUUGGGAUGGACCCGCGGCGUAUUAGCUAGUUGGUAAGGUAAUGGCCUACCAAGGCAAUGAUACGUAGCCGAACUGAGAGGUUGAUCGGCCACAUUGGGACUGAGACAUGGCCCAAACUCCUACGGGAGGCAGCAGUUGGGAAUCUUCCACAAUGGACGAAAGUCUGAUGGAGCAACGCCGCGUGAGUGAAGAAGGUUUUCGGAUCGUAAAACUCUGUUGUCAGAGAAGAACGUAUGCGAGAGUAACUGUUCGUGCAGUGACGGCAUCUGGCCAGAAAGCCACGGCUAACUACGUGCCAGCCGCCGCGGUAA